UACGUAGGGUGCGAGCGUUAAUCGGAAUUACUGGGCGUAAAGCGUGCGCAGGCGGUUGUGCAAGACAGAUGUGAAAUCCCCGGGCUCAACCUGGGAAUUGCAUUUGUGACUGCACGGCUAGAGUGUGUCAGAGGGGGGUAGAAUUCCACGUGUAGCAGUGAAAUGCGUAGAUAUGUGGAGGAACACCGAUGGCGAAGGCAGCCCCCCUGGGAUAACACUGACGCUCAUGCACGAAAGCGUGGGGAGCAAACAGG
rnacentral:rRNA from 1 species